GUCUUCAGCCAUACCACCCUGAACAUGCCAGAUCUCUUCUGAUCUCAGAAGCUAAAUAGCGUUGGGUGUGGUUAGUACUUGGAUGGGAGACAUAUUGGGUGCUGUAGGCU
rnacentral:rRNA from 1 species